rnacentral:ncRNA from 1 species
GGGAGAAGUCCACUGUUUCAGCUGACGCCUUGCAAUUUUACCAUGCGCGGGGAUAAAACCUUUGCAUACGACUUAGUUAUAUCAGACGGUGCUGUAAAUAGUAGAGUAGUCUUGUUAUUACGAUCUAUUGAGGCUAAGCCGCGCUGAUUUAGUUUUGU